UAUUGGUCCCCUCGCGAUGAUAGACUGUGAACCCCGUCAGGCCCGGAAGGGAGCAGCGGUAGCAAUCGAUUCGUGCGCGAAGGUAAGGCUUCUAGGG
rnacentral:SRP_RNA from 4 species